rnacentral:rRNA from 1 species
UACGUAGGGCGCAAGCGUUAUCCGGAAUUAUUGGGCGUAAAGAGCUCGUAGGCGGUCUGUCGCGUCGGCUGUGAAAACUCGGGGCUCAACCCCGAGCCUGCAGUCGAUACGGGCAGACUAGAGUGCUGUAGGGGAGACUGGAAUUCCUGGUGUAGCGGUGAAAUGCGCAGAUAUCAGGAGGAACACCGGUGGCGAAGGCGGUUCUCUGGGCAUUACCUGACGCUGAGGAGCGAAAGUGUGGGGAGCGAACAGG